rnacentral:misc_RNA from 1 species
AAAAAAGAGACAGGCCUUGUCAUGGCGAGCCUUUGGUGCCUUCCGUGAUAAGGGGAAGGGGAGUGGUAAGGAGGGUCCCUUCCACCAGACUACUUUACUUUACUAGUUUGAAUGAAUGAAUUCAAAGUACGUACAGGAACUGGUUUAACAAAAGGGGUCUUCGAACUACAGGGAUCUGAUACCUGGCUCUCUUGGUAUGAAGAUAUGAAGAGUAGGUUAUGUAGGCAACAACCGUUCAUAGGUUGCUCGAUCGCAAAA